rnacentral:lncRNA from 1 species
CCAAAGCCUCUGGUUUUCUUCCCUCAGGACUCUGUCCUCAUUGUAGAGCUGAGGUGUGGCUGUUGUCGUUGUAGAGCUGAGGUGUGGACUCCAGGCCCGGACUGGAGAAGGUCAAGGGGGAUCCUGACUCAGAGCAUGCAAGAAGGCAGGUUACACAGGAGCAAGUGGAGGAAAGCAGACCUCAGUGCUCUGCCAUCUGUGAAGCUCAGCCUAAGGGUGACCUUCAGGAGCCCCCUCACUGUGACCAGGAGUGGGAAGCCCUGGGCCUCUCCUUCCUGUUCAGGAGGCAGUGGAGCUGAGCCUGUGUUGCAGCUGCUCCCUCAGGUGGUCAUUACAAAUGGUGGAGUCCUCCAGGUGCUGGCUAAGGUUCCGGAUUUCACCAAGAUGCUCCUGUGGCAGGUGAGCCCCUGCAGCCAUCCCUCCAGGACUGGAGGAGGUGGGAGAUGGAGAAUUCUGGUCACACGUGGGGCCACAUGGGGGAUGGGGCUUGGCCUCACUGGCCUCUCAGCAGCUUCCCCUGACCAUCACCCUCCUCUCACCUGGGCACCCAGGAGCUGAGCUGACUCUGUUUAAAGAGCCAGUUGGCUUCAGAUGCAGGACAGUGGGUGCUAAGGCCGCCCCAUGGGCCUCCUCCCAUGCAGGGGUACCUGUAAGGGAGCUGUCAGUGUAGGUGUACAGUUACCAGGGUAACUGGGAAGUGUCCGGGGUUGCCCAGGGUUUAGAAAAGCAGCUGAGGACCGUGGAGCUCAGCCUAGGCCCUGGAAAGGGGUGGCCCUUUCCUGAGUUGACCGUGAUCCUGACCCUAGGAUUCUACCUUACCUCUUAGUGCCCCUUGAAUGGAUGUUCUUUAGCAAGAGACAAGCCCUUCCUUCACCCUUUGAGAGAAGACCUAAGGUAAAGGCUAGUCCGUUAUGUCAGCUCAUCCUAUGUGGUUAAUGAUUGGUACUGAAUGCUCCCCUCAAAUUUCUUUUAAUAUGGCAGGAAGAAAGGAUAGUCUAUACUGAUUCAGGCAUCUGAAGGCUGAGGAGAGGGGAGAAAAAAAAGAUUCAGAAAUGAUCAGUGGGAGGGAUGCUAAUGACAGACCACAGCCAGAUGCCUCAUUUUGCUUUGGAUGCAGCCUUGUCCUGAAAAUCACAGUUCUUUUCCUGCUGGACCUGAGCUGCUUCCCAGCGUUACCUGUAGAAUCAUCUUGCUCCAGGUGGGAAGAUGACCUGACUAGGAGAGCUAGGAGGGAGAGGAGGAGUGUGAACUGGGAUUUAUUUGUGGGUGGGGAGGUGUGUAGAAACAGCCCCCCUUUCUGUCACAACUCCUGACUGAUGGAGGAAUGUUCUGUGAAGGCCGGUGCCUGGCAUUCUGGAAGGUCUGAGAGGGAGCAGUGAGGGGAUCAGGAUGUGGGGAGAGAGAGGCCGUGAAAGUGAGAGCACAGAGGUGGCCCCUGACUUUCUCACACCUCCCACUCUGCACCAAAGGCCUGGGCAGGGAGCAUGAAGGAUGCACUUCGAAAGGACUAAGCACUGAUGGGGCCUGUUCAUUUUAUCUCCUGUCUGUGAGCCAGAGA